GCUUCUUAGAAUGCAUUCUCCAAAAGCCACAAAAUACACCUGCAUGGAUUUCUACAAAUACCACGGGAGUCUCUUACAUUUGGGAACUUUACAGUCCUAUUGGUCAAACAACCAUGAAAAGCUAAUGCUGCAAUGACACAGGGAAAUUCCCGAUGAAAAGCUUGCCUCCCUCCCGGCCUCCACCAGCCUAUACUGGAAACUACUUCCCUCCAAUGUACUAUACACUUGGCUAUCAUACUGGUACAUGGCCUCCGUUGUGUUGCUGUUUUGAUGGGCCCCAGCAUUUAAUCGCAUUGAACUGGUCGUCGUGCCACUGCCUUGCCACCAUGUCGCACCUCUCCCCCCACCUCCCUUGAAGAAUAAAGGAACAUAAUGGACGCUUUUUGAGGACCAGGAGGCAUGUCACACACCAUAAGCCCAGUGCAAGGCAGCGGUGGAUACACACAGUCUCGCACACCUGCUUCCAGAGAUUCCUGCUCCUUCAUCCUCUACCCUGUCUCCUGAGGGUCCAGCUCAGUGGGUUUCUACCACAAGACCAUACCCUCAGGCUUCCUCUCACAUCAAGCCUCGAGGGUGUCUGAGGCUUCAGUCCCCCUCAGUUUUCAAAUCACGUAGAGGGCUUUGGUUGUUGCACGAUAGCAACCAAAUCCCAUGCAAGUCAGUUUAUGAAAUUCCAUCACUGGUUACUCUGAGAGUUCCUCAUUGACAUUGGCUGCAGCCUCAGGCAUUAUGGUGCUAACUUUGGAAAAGUAUUUCCAAUUUCUACUCCUUCCUGUAUUACUAAUAGGGAUAGACCAAAUAGAACCCCACAGUGGAGAUGUUAUAAUACCCAUAAAACCUAGCAGUCAAACAGGGAAAUGGUUCCAAUCAAACCAGCCUUCGCUUGGCUCCCCCUCCUGUCCAGCUCAGGCGUUCGGCGUCGCUGGCCUUCUAGCUGCUGCUGAACCUGCUGCUGGAUAACGCCCUUCUCUCAUCAACCCCGGACUUGUCUCGUCAUCAUUACACACACCUGGUUCCAAUCUCCACUCUAUCACUGUAUAUAUACUCCCUCUGUCAUUUGUCUUUGAUUGGUCGAUGUAAAUGUUGCUUGUUUUCUUGAGAGGAAUCUCUCCUGCUGUACUUUUAAUAUAUAUAUAUAUUUAAUAAAUUCAGUAGUUCUAAACCCC
rnacentral:lncRNA from 1 species